rnacentral:rRNA from 1 species
GACGAACGCUGGCGGCGUGCUUAACACAUGCAAGUCGAACGGUGAACGAGGGAGCUUGCUCCCUCCGGAUCAGUGGCGAACGGGUGAGUAACACGUGAGCAAUCUGCCCCGAACUCUGGGAUAAGCGUUGGAAACGACGUCUAAUACCGGAUACGACGCGGGAGGGCAUCCUCUCCGCGUGGAAAGAACUUCGGUUUGGGAUGAGCUCGCGGCCUAUCAGCUUGUUGGUGAGGUAACGGCUCACCAAGGCGACGACGGGUAGCCGGCCUGAGAGGGUGACCGGCCACACUGGGACUGAGACACGGCCCAGACUCCUACGGGAGGCAGCAGUGGGGAAUAUUGCACAAUGGGCGCAAGCCUGAUGCAGCAACGCCGCGUGAGGGACGACGGCCUUCGGGUUGUAAACCUCUUUUAGCAGGGAAGAAGCGAAAGUGACGGUACCUGCAGAAAAAGCACCGGCUAACUACGUG